rnacentral:lncRNA from 1 species
GGAAAGGGGUGUGAGGUGACCCCAGGCUCACUGGACUGCAGCCCCCACCUCGGUAGCACCCCUGCCCCACCUGCCCCACACACCUUGCCAGAACGACAGGAAGAUGACGGCUUUGAUGGAUCCUGUCCACUGCUCAGGCAGCAUCCAGGCUGCCUCUGUCGGAACGCCACCUCCCAACCCCGUCCACCUGGCCACUGCCUGAAGAUCCUCUGUGUGGUGGACACACAGGUGUCGUUCCCGUGUGAGUGUGUGCACAUAGGUGUGUGUGCAUGUAUGUCGUGUGCACACAGGUGGGGUGCGCUGUGUGUGUGCACAUAUUGCGUGCAUGUGAGUGUACAUACAUGUGUGGUGGUGUGUGCACGGUUUGCGCAUGUGCUGUGUGCAUGUGUGAACAUGUGAUGCACGUGUGUGAUGUGUGCGCACAGGUGACAGCACAUGUGUCCCCGUGUGUGAGCAUCUGUGUGGUGUUGGUGAGCACCUUGGACCUUCGCAGGGGUCCAAGGGGUGAGCUGUGUGGACCUUCGCAGGGGUCCUCCUUGUGCUGGGUGGCUGCCUGUCUGUUCAGCCAACAGGUCGGGGUGGACCUUGGUCCCCUUGGCCCAGGUGCCCUUAAUGCCAAGAGUGCUCAAGGCUGGGCGGGGGCUGGGGCCAUCACUGCCUGGCCAGAAGCCCUGGGGUCCUCGGCGCAGAUGCUGGCACAGACGCUAGACUCACCCCAGCCGUGUCCUGUGAGGGGAGGUCCAGGCCCCCGGCCUUGGCAGGCACCGAGGUCCUUGUGGAGAAGAAGUGGGUACCUGUCUUGGGCGGGGCCCCUAGCCCAGCCGGACGCCAGGCCUGCCUUGUUGGGCCCCACCGCUGGGCCCCAGGGGACCCAGUGCCCACCUCAUGCCAGGUGCCCCCGCAGCUCCCACCUUACUUGAGCCCAGCUGGACGCCAAGUCCGCCUCGUUGGGCCCCACUCCCGGGCCCCGGGGGACCCAGUGCCCACCUCAUGCCAGGUGUCCCCGCAGCUCCCGCCUUACUUGAAGUCCCCGUCGUGGUAUUUGCCAAAUGCCUGGAGGAUGAUGGUGGUGACGGCCAUGACGGGCUUCACCAGGCAGAACUGCAGAGUGGCCUGGGGGCGACGGCACCCGGUGGGCCUGGG